rnacentral:rRNA from 1 species
GCUAAACGCGAAGAACCUUACCUGGCCUUGACAUGUCCGGAAUUCUGCAGAGAUGCGGAAGUGCCUUCGGGAAUCGGAACACAGGUGCUGCAUGGCUGUCGUCAGCUCGUGUCGUGAGAUGUUGGGUUAAGUCCCGCAACGAGCGCAACCCUUAUCGUAUGUUGCCAGCAUUCAGUUGGGCACUCAUGCGAGACUGCCGGUGACAAGCCGGAGGAAGGCGGGGACGACGUCAAGUCAUCAUGGCCCUUACGUGUGGGGCUAGAAACGUGCUACAAUGGUGGUGACAGUGAGCAGCGAGGUCGUGAGGCCAAGCUAAUCUCUAAAAGCCAUCUCAGUUCAGAUUGUAGUCUGCAACUCGACUACAUGAAGUUGGAAUCGCUAGUAAUCGCAAAUCAGCAUGUUGCGGUGAAUACGUUCCCGGGUCUUGUACACACCGGAGGUCGGUGG